rnacentral:rRNA from 1 species
GACGAACGCUGGCGGCGUGCCUAAUACAUGCAAGUCGAGCGGACCGACGGGAGCUUGCUCUCUUAGGUCAGCGGCGGACGGGUGAGUAACACGUGGGUAACCUGCCUGUAAGACUGGGAUAACUCCGGGAAACCGGGGCUAAUACCGGAUGCUUGAUUGAACCGCAUGGUUCCAAUCAUAAAAGGUGGCUUUCAGCUACCACUUACAGAUGGACCCGCGGCGCAUUAGCUAGUUGGUGAGGUAACGGCUCACCAAGGCGACGAUGCGUAGCCGACCUGAGAGGGUGAUCGGCCACACUGGGACUGAGACACGGCCCAGACUCCUACGGGAGGCAGCAGUAGGGAAUCUUCCGCAAUGGACGAAAGUCUGACGGAGCAACGCCGCGUGAGUGACGAAGGCCUUCGGGUCGUAAAGCUCUGUUGUUAGGGAAGAACAAGUACCGUUCGAAUAGGGCGGUACCUUGACGGUACCUAACCAGAAAGCCACGGCUAACUACGUGCCAGCAGCCGCGGUAAUACGUAGGUGGCAAGCGUUGUCCGGAAUUAUUGGGCGUAAAGCGCGCGCAGGCGGUCUUUUAAGUCUGAUGUGAAAGCCCACGGCUCAACCGGGGAGGGUCAUUGGAAACUGGGGAACUUGAGUGCAGAAGAGGAGAGUGGAAUUCCACGUGUAGCGGUGAAAUGCGUAGAGAUGUGGAGGAACACCAGUGGCGAAGGCGACUCUCUGGUCUGUAACUGACGCUGAGGCGCGAAAGCGUGGGGAGCGAACAGGAUUAGAUACCCUGGUAGUCCACGCCGUAAACGAUGAGUGCUAAGUGUUAGAGGGUUUCCGCCCUUUAGUGCUGCAGCAAACGCAUUAAGCACUCCGCCUGGGGAGUACGGUCGCAAGACUGAAACUCAAAGGAAUUGACGGGGGCCCGCACAAGCGGUGGAGCAUGUGG